AAUAAGAGGUUAGAGGGGGAAUCACAAUCCGGACCUCUGACAUACUAUAGAGCAAGUGUUAUCAAAACAACCUGGUAGUGGCACAAAGGGAGGAAGGA